rnacentral:lncRNA from 1 species
AAUGAGAUCUUAAAAUCCUAACUUUGGAGAACCAAAACCUGCACCUCUUCUCCCUAGCCUCACACCUCCUCUCUCUCUCCCUCACAACCCACACCCAAAGAAGUUGGGCAUCCUCCAUUACAACGCCCAAGGGAGUUGGGCGUCCCACCUCCAUGCUAAGAGAGAAGGAGUUCUCUCUUCCUUAUCCCUUCGCUUAUUGCAAGAUGCAUGCUAAUUUCUUGAAGAAAAAAAUCAAGAGGAGCAUCCUAAAUCUUUUUCAUGGAUAUCUGUAG